GGCUGAAAGCAAUGAUGUUGCCAUUCAUCCUUUCACGUAUUCAUUAUGGUCUACAGCUGAGAAGGGCUAUUUGGGGUUUGCUUUGCCUGAUGGUAGCAGAAGAAAACCAAGAGGCCUCUCUACGAAAGCUUGCAGUAAGGAGAAAGUUCUGGAGACUGGGAAGAGCAACACAAAGAUAUUCAGUUGCUUGGUGAGAGCUGCUCUCUGCUUCCAAGGCGGCACCUUGUUGCUGCAUUCUCCAAUGGGAAGGAACGCUGGGUCCUCACAUGACAGAAGGUGGAAAGGAUGUAAUGAAGUUAUUCCGAGAGUUAGCACCUCUGUAUGCUCAGGAUCUCUGUCCAGUGAAUCCCUUGCCAUUCUAAUGAUUCCCAAGAUUGAGGGUUAAGCAGUGUCUUCCUUCCCAAGGCUUCUGCUGGAUGAGCAUUUGGAUUUGCUAAUUAUGAAUAAAACUGCUGUGAACAUGCUGGUAUAUAUCUUUGAAUGAGCAAAUGCAACUAUUUCCAUUAGUAUUUUCCCAUUAGUGUGAUUGUUGGAUCAUAGAAUAUGAUGUAUAAAAUACUAUGUUAAGAGACAGUGUCAAAUGGUUUUUCACAUAAGUUAAAUUGUAUGUCUACCACCAUUAAGUGAGAAUUAAAACUGUUCUAUUUCAUCA
ensembl:lncRNA LINC01435 long intergenic non-protein coding RNA 1435